AUAUGCCUCGUCAUCUAAUUAGUGAUGCGCAUGAAUAGAUUAACUAGAUUCUCAUUAACCCUAGAGAAACUAACCACAUCCAAGGGAACUAGCUUUGUAGAAUUAGUGAGGAAAUAAGACCUUCUUGAGCUUGACUCUAGUCCGACUUUGU
rnacentral:ncRNA from 1 species